rnacentral:rRNA from 1 species
GAGUUUGAUCCUGGCUCAGGAUGAACGCUGGCGGCGUGCCUAAUACAUGCAAGUCGAGCGAACGGACGAGAAGCUUGCUUCUCUGAUGUUAGCGGCGGACGGGUGAGUAACACGUGGAUAACCUACCUAUAAGACUGGGAUAACUUCGGGAAACCGGAGCUAAUACCGGAUAAUAUUUUGAACCGCAUGGUUCAAAAGUGAAAGACGGUCUUGCUGUCACUUAUAGAUGGAUCCGCGCUGCAUUAGCUAGUUGGUAAGGUAACGGCUUACCAAGGCAACGAUGCAUAGCCGACCUGAGAGGGUGAUCGGCCACACUGGAACUGAGACACGGUCCAGACUCCUACGGGAGGCAGCAGUAGGGAAUCUUCCGCAAUGGGCGAAAGCCUGACGGAGCAACGCCGCGUGAGUGAUGAAGGUCUUCGGAUCGUAAAACUCUGUUAUUAGGGAAGAACAUAUGUGUAAGUAACUGUGCACAUCUUGACGGUACCUAAUCAGAAAGCCACGGCUAACUACGUGCCAGCAGCCGCGGUAAUACGUAGGUGGCAAGCGUUAUCCGGAAUUAUUGGGCGUAAGCGCGCGUAGGCGGUUUUUUAAGUCUGAUGUGAAAGCCCACGGCUCAACCGUGGAGGGUCAUUGGAAACUGGAAAACUUGAGUGCAGAAGAGGAAAGUGGAAUUCCAUGUGUAGCGGUGAAAUGCGCAGAGAUAUGGAGGAACACCAGUGGCGAAGGCGACUUUCUGGUCUGUAACUGACGCUGAUGUGCGAAAGCGUGGGGAUCAAACAGGAUUAGAUACCCUGGUAGUCCACGCCGUAAACGAUGAGUGCUAAGUGUUAGGGGUUUCCGCCCUUAGUGCUGCAGCUAACGCAUUAAGCACUCCGCCUGGGGAGUACGACCGCAAGGUUGAAACUCAAAGGAAUUGACGGGGACCCGCACAAGCGGUGGAGCAUGUGGUUUAAUUCGAAGCAACGCGAAGAACCUUACCAAAUCUUGACAUCCUUUGACAACUCUAGAGAUAGAGCCUUCCCCUUCGGGGGACAACGUGACAGGUGGUGCAUGGUUGUCGUCAGCUCGUGUCGUGAGAUGUUGGGUUAAGUCCCGCAACGAGCGCAACCCUUAAGCUUAGUUGCCAUCAUUAAGUUGGGCACUCUAAGUUGACUGCCGGUGACAAACCGGAGGAAGGUGGGGAUGACGUCAAAUCAUCAUGCCCCUUAUGAUUUGGGCUACACACGUGCUACAAUGGACAAUACAAAGGGCAGCGAAACCGCGAGGUCAAGCAAAUCCCAUAAAGUUGUUCUCAGUUCGGAUUGUAGUCUGCAACUCGACUACAUGAAGCUGGAAUCGCUAGUAAUCGUAGAUCAGCAUGCUACGGUGAAUACGUUCCCGGGUCUUGUACACACCGCCCGUCACACCACGAGAGUUUGUAACACCCGAAGCCGGUGGAGUAACCUUUUAGGAGCUAGCCGUCGAAGGUGGGACAAAUGAUUGGGGUGAAGUCGUAACAAGGUAGCCGUAUCGGAAGGUGCGGCUGGAUCACC